rnacentral:lncRNA from 1 species
GUUCAUCUUAAUAAGCAUGCCAGAUGAGUCAUUAUCUGAGAGGGAAUUCAAAUUCAAGAUUUGUUUCUUUAAAAGCACUUUUAUUCUAUUUAACAAAUACAUGUUAUUUCAAAGGGAGAUAUUAAUAAAUCUUUGAAAGCCAACAUUUUCUAUGCUAUGAUAAUUCCAUAGACAUUGGGAAAGAGAAAAUAUUUAUAAAGCAUUUAGUGAUGAGUAAUUCACAAGGAAAUGAUUAUAAAUACAAGUCAAACAAAUUGGCAAUUGUUUGCAUUUCAAAUUAAAAAUCACAUGGAAUGAUGCAUUGCUGUUUUGCUUCAUGAGCAUUUUAGGGAAAGCUAUUCCUACCUACUUUUGUGAGGCACACAUGGAGGUCUAGCUGAUAGAACAGCAAUAUGUGAAUCUGGAUUUUAUAAAGUCCCUCCUGCCUCUAUCAGACCUUGUUGUGUGGCCUGGGCAAUUUACUUUGUAUUAUCUGUACUUGUUUCCUCAUCGGUAAAGCUGAGAAUAAAAUAAUUUUUUAAAAAGUGAAAUCAUUGAUUUCAAUGAUCAAGCAUGCUAACAAUUUAUUGGGACCAAACUAUGGUUUUCACAACAAAUAUGUUUUUCCUGAAGUAACAGAUAUUCCUAAUAGAUUGAAUUCCAUACAGACUUUUUAGAUAAUCAUGCAUGUCUACUUAAGAUACAAGGAAAUGAACUUGAAAAGGAGAUAAGACUGAUACCCAGGGUCACAUGGGUAUCAGAAAAACUAGUUAAUGCCUUGUUUAUAGAAAUGUUCAACAAAUGUUAUAUACUAUAAUCCUAUGAUGUUCAAUGCAGAUUAUCCACCAACAGACUUCACUUAUUUAAUGACUCCUUAAAUGAGGCUACCAGCAUAUGUGCUUGUCCUUAUCCUGUAUGUAUUAUCAAAAAGCAAAAAGGUAAAGAUAUUAAGUCCCUUCUCAAUAGGCAUACUUAAAAAACACAACAAACUUAUUUGUAUCCUCAACUAAUGGAAUGAUAUACAGUGUGUGGCUAGGGAAGGAGAUAGGUUAGCAUCUGUGGACAAAAUCAUACCAGCCCUAUUUCUCCACAGACAGACAGAUGGACAAAAAGCACAUGAGAGGAAGCUCAACACCACUAAUUAUUAGAGACAUGCAAAUCAAAACUGCAAGAAAUAUCAUUUCACAUCAGUCAGAAUUGGUAUUAUCAAAAAAAUCUAUAAACAAUAAAUGCUGGAGAAGGUGUGAAGGAAGGGGAACCCUCCCACACAGUUGCUGGAAAUGUAAAUUGAUGCAGUCACUAUGGAGAAAAGUGUGGUGAUUCCUUAUAAAAUAAAAAUAGAACCAUAUAAUAUUUCAUAGCAUACCAUAUGAUAUAGCAAUCCCAUUCCUGAUAAUAUAGCUGGAGAAAACCAUAAUUUGAAAAGAUACAUGCACUCCAAUGUUCAUAGCAGCACUAUUUACAAUGCCAAGACAUAGUAGUAACCUAAAUGUCCAUUGAUAGAGGAAUGGAUAAAGAAGAUGUGGUACAUAUAUACAAUGGAAUACUACUCAGCCAUAAAAAAAGAAUGAAAUAAUGCCAUUUGCAGCAACAUGGAUGGAUCUAGAACUUAUACUAAGCGAAGUAAGACGGAGAAAGACAAAUAUCAUAUGAGAUCACAA